rnacentral:rRNA from 1 species
GACAGAGGGUGCAAACGUUGUUCGGAAUUACUGGGCGUAAAGCGUGUGUAGGCGGCCACGUAAGUCGGAUGUGAAAGCCCCAGGCUCAACCUGGGAAGUGCACUCGAUACUGCGUGGCUUGAGUAUCGGAGAGGUUGGUGGAAUUCUCGGUGUAGAGGUGAAAUUCGUAGAUAUCGAGAGGAACACCGGUGGCGAAGGCGGCCAACUGGACGAGUACUGACGCUGAGACACGAAAGCGUGGGGAGCAAACAGG